CAGUCGCCGCGGUAAUACAGAGGGUGCGAGCGUUAAUCGGAUUUACUGGGCGUAAAGCGUGCGUAGGCGGCUUCUUAAGUCGGAUGUGAAAUCCCUGAGCUUAACUUAGGAAUUGCAUUCGAUACUGGGAAGCUAGAGUAUGGGAGAGGAUGGUAGAAUUCCAGGUGUAGCGGUGAAAUGCGUAGAGAUCUGGAGGAAUACCGAUGGCGAAGGCAGCCAUCUGGCCUAAUACUGACGCUGAGGUACGAAAGCAUGGGGAGCAAACAGGAUUAGAGACCCGCGUAGUCCCUGUCUCUUAUAA
rnacentral:rRNA from 1 species